AAUUUUCCGCAACGGGCGCAAGCCUGACAGAGCAAUACCGCGUGAGGGAAGAAAGCCCACAGAGUUGUAAACCUCUUUUAUCAAGGAAGAAGUUCUGACGUUACUUGAUGAAUAAGCAUCGGAUUACUCCCUGCCAGCAGCCGCGGUAAGACGGGGGAUGCAAGUGUUAUCCGGAAUCACUGGGCGUAAAGCGUUUGUAGGUGGUUUAGUAAGUUUAUUGUUAAAGCUCGAAUCUUAACUUCAAAAACGUAAUAGAAACUAUUAGACUUGAGGAUAGUAGGGGUAAAGGGAAUUUCCAGUGGAGCGGUGAAAUGCUUAGAGAUUGAAAGAACCCCGGAUGGGGAGGCCACUUUAUUGGUCUAUUUUGACACUAAGAGACGAAAGCUAGGGUAGGAAAUGGGAUUAGAUACCCCUGUAUUCCUACAUGUA
rnacentral:rRNA from 1 species